rnacentral:rRNA from 1 species
AUGGCCAGCGACGAAGCGCUCCGCCGCUUCUACUCCGACGACGACGACUCCGACGGCGGCAUGUAUGCGUAUCACCACUACUUUGACGACGGCCAGGAUGACGCCGGGAGGGACGAGGAGGGGGCGCCGCAGCAGCCGGUGGUCAGGAGGAAGAAGGCCGCCGACCGCAGGGCGCCGCGUGGGCCGCUGAGGUCGGUCAGGCGGCGCUCGGGGCUGCCGACGGGAUGCGGCGACGGCGCCGGGCCGUGGGGCGGAAAGCAGCGGAGGAAGCUCCUGGCUUGGCGGCUGCGGUGGAAGGUUCAGCGGCGGCAGGCGAGAGAGAAGGCGCGGUGGUCCGGCGUCAAGGCGCCGCCGGGCCUGCUCGACCCGAUCUUCCUGGACCUCGAGAUUGAUCUUGGUGAUGAUUAA